CGUAGGGGGCAAGCGUUGUCCGGAUUUAUUGGGCGUAAAGCGCUCGCAGGUGGUCCGCUGCGUCGUGCGUGAAAGACCCCGGCUCAACUGGGGGAUGUCGUGCGAUACGGGCGGACUGGAGGCCAGUAGGGGGAUGCGGAAUUCCGGGUGUAGUGGUGGAAUGCGUAGAGAUCCGGAGGAACACCAGCGGCGAAGGCGGCAUCCUGGACUGGUCCUGACACUCAGGAGCGAAAGCGUGGGGAGCGAUCCGGAUUAGAUACCCGGGUAGUCCACGCUGUAAACGAUGAGCACUAGGUGUCGGGGGGUAUCGGACCCCCUCGGUGCCGCAGCUAACGCGAUAAGUGCUCCGCCUGGGGACUACGGCCGCAAGGCUA
rnacentral:rRNA from 1 species